rnacentral:lncRNA from 1 species
AAUUUAAAUGGAAAGUAAAUAUCAAGUUGUUAGCAUUAAAGAAAACCCAUUUCAGAGAGCUGGAGAUGUAACAUUCGAGGGACCUUCUCUCUCCUUCACUCUUCCUCACUUUUCUUUCAUUUUCCUUUGUUCCUUUCUUCCCCCUCAUUUUCCUCAUUCUCUCUGUCUCUCCUUCUUUCCUGUUCUCAGAUUCUCAGGCAGGAGAAGCCUUCGUUUCCCUGAGAUGGCUUCUGAACUGCUGCUUUGGACCAGACCUCGCUUAAACUGAGGUUCAAAGCUGUGAAGGGCUCAGGACCAUCCUCUGGCCCUUUCCUCUGGAGCCUGCUCGACAACCCUCCCUGCUGUCAGUGCCUGGAGCCGGGCUGGGCAGAGCCAGGGAAGGUGGCAUCUGCACCCGGAGCACCACGUGCCCUCGCUGCUGUGAGCUGAGAAAUCUCGGAUACAGAAGACUCUCUUUGUGUGCCUAAAAGGAAGUGAUAAUCUGAAGUCCAUGUAAAAACAUUUAAUGGCAAAACCAAGGUAAUGGACAGCAGAGUCCCGUGAACAGAAUGGACAGCAGAAUAGACUCCCAAAGCCUGACUUCUUCUAUCAACACCAUUUUUACCUUAGUACAAUCAGAUGCAGAACAACCCAAACUCUUUCAGCACCAGGAAGGGGGCACGGCUGCCUUUUGACUGAGACACUGUGGUGACUUCAAGUUUCUUCUUACCACUGUUUGCAGGAUUCAGUUGGAUUUGGAACAAACAUUUACUCUUUAUCUCCAAAGACAACAUUUGUUGAGCUUUGGGAGUCUCGGUGAAGCCGAAGGUUUAACAGCCAUUCAGAACAGGCCUGGAUGCAGAGCCAACAGCACGGUGUGAUAAUGCCACAGGGCAUCAUGGGUUUAAAUUAUAGGCGCUCUCGACAUUCCUCUUCCUAUAUGGGGACACAGGACUGUGUCCUUCCCCGGCUUCCAUCUGUUCCUUCACUUACUUGCUGUUUCUGCCGUCAGGGUGAGGAUGAGGUUGGAGAGCAGGAGCAGCCCUGGAGUUCAGUUAAUGGAGUUUCCCACUAGGUGGUAGUGAAGAGAAUCGCGUCACAGGUACCGUUACGUCACCUCCAACUCUAAGUUAAAACUGGCUCUUCUCCCUCCCACACGAGAAGGAACAAAGAACGAGGCUGCACAGCUGGACUGGAACAAUCGCUCCGCGCUCUGCGAAGCCCCACACGCACAAACGGCUCCCGUGCAGGAACGGGAGGUGGGAUUAAUUCAAGGGAGCAGACCCAAGAUAAGAUGCUAGUUCUGCAAUUGGCAGAAACACAAUCAGGGACUGAAGAUUUGGCGAUGGCACCAAAGAAACCAAGGGGAGAGAUGAGCGGGAUCAGCGGCUGCCAGUUCCUCUGCCUGGGACUUGCAGGGACGGUGGUAACAUGAAGU